rnacentral:rRNA from 1 species
UACGUAGGGUGCAAGCGUUGUCCGGAAUUACUGGGCGUAAAGAGCUCGUAGGUGGCUUGUCGCGUUGUCCGUGAAAACUCACAGCUUAACUGUGGGCGUGCGGGCGAUACGGGCAGACUGGAGUACUGCAGGGGAGACUGGAAUUCCUGGUGUAGCGGUGGAAUGCGCAGAUAUCAGGAGGAACACCGGUGGCGAAGGCGGGUCUCUGGGCAGUAACUGACGCUGAGGAGCGAAAGCGUGGGGAGCGAACAGG